AAGCCACCCAGCCUAUGCGUCCGCUCCUCAAUCCUCUCCUGUUGGCACUGGGCCUCAUGGCACUUUUGUUGACCACGGUCAUUGCUCUCACUUGCCUUGGCGGCUUUGCCUCCCCAGGCCCUGUGCCUCCCUCUACAGCCCUCAGGGAGCUCAUUGAGGAGCUGGUCAACAUCACCCAGAACCAGAAGGUGAGUGUCGGCUAGCCAGGGUCCUAGCUAUGAGGGCUCCAGGGUGGGUGAUUCCCAAGAUGAGGUCAUGAGCAGGCUGGGCCUGGUCCUAAGAUGCCUGUAGGUCAGGAAAAAUCUCCAUGGACCAAGGCCCGGCCCAGCCAUGAGGGAGAGAGGAGCUGGGCUGGGGGGCUCAGCACUGUGGAUGGACCUAUGAAGGUGUCUGGCAGACUCCCCAGGGACUACCUGCUCUCCUGGCCUGGCCUUGUCUGCCACUGCCAGCUCCUACUCAGCCAUUCCUGAACAGAGGACAGCAGAGAAGGGCCAGCACCCUCCCAGAACCAUGUGGCAUUUGCCAACUGGAUUUUGACCAUAACAAUGCAGCCAUUCUCCCCAGCACCGUAAUAGGCCCGCCCUUACAGGAGGAUUCGUUAGUAGAGUCCGCUCCUUGCCCCACUAGUAACAGCUCACAUGUCUGAGCACUGCUUACACCAGGCCUGGUGCACGUGCUUUAUGUGUCAUUUCAUCACUGCCAGCCACCUCAAGAGGCAGGUACGAUGAACCCAUUCUGCUAAGGUUCAGUGAGGUUAAGUGACAGAGGCUGGAUUCAAGCCAGGCCUGGCCAACACCAGAGUGUCCAUGCUCCUAACUGCAGUGUUCCCUCACCAUCAGAAGGCAGGGCAUUUAAUACACCAGAUCCCCACCACCUCCCAUCUGAUUUGUCUUGGUCAACAGUGGCCCAGGCCACUCCUACUUCACUCGUCCCCACCCUGGCCCUUCCCGCAGGCCCCUGUCCUCCUGCCCUGACUAUGGCAAGCCUUGCAUGCAGCUUGUCCCUUACUAGUGGUAUCAAUUUUUUUCUCUCAGCUCCAAGACCCUAAACCGUGGGACCUCACCCCUAUGCCUGCUGUUCAAAGCAGAAAACGAAGCUCAGGAAUGCUGAGGGGCUGCCAGGCCUGCCUCUGUGCCACACCAGGGAUGCUUGUGGGGCCUGUGCUGGUGCAGACCUGGCCUGGGCUGCCAGGGCAGGCCCACAACCCCUGCCAGCACUCUGCUCACUGUCACUUUGCUCCCACAGGCUCCGCUCUGCAAUGGCAGCAUGGUAUGGAGCAUCAACCUGACAGCUGGCGUGUACUGUGCAGCCCUGGAAUCCCUGAUCAACGUGUCAGGCUGCAGUGCCAUCGAGAAGACCCAGAGGAUGCUGAGCGGAUUCUGCCCGCACAAGGUCUCAGCUGGGCAGUUUUCCAGCUUGCAUGUCCGAGACACCAAAAUCGAGGUGGCCCAGUUUGUAAAGGACCUGCUCUUACAUUUAAAGAAACUUUUUCGCGAGGGACGGUUCAACUGAAACUUCGAAAGCAUCAUUAUUUGCAGAGACAGGACCUGACUAUUGAAGUU
rnacentral:sRNA from 1 species